GGUCCCAUCGUCUAGAGGCCUAGGACACGUCCCUUUCACGGAUGAAACACGAGUUCGAAUCUCGUUGGGAUCACCA
rnacentral:tRNA from 1 species